GACGAACGCUGGCGGCGUGCUUAACACAUGCAAGUCGAACGAGAGGAGAAGGAAGCUUGCUUCUUUCAAAUCUAGUGGCAAACGGGUGAGUAACACGUAAACAACCUGCCUUCAGGAUGGGGACAACAGACGGAAACGACUGCUAAUACCGAAUACGUUCCUUAGGUCGCAUGACUUUAGGAAGAAAGGGUGGCCUCUACUUGUAAGCUAUCGCCUGAAGAGGGGUUUGCGUCUGAUUAGGUAGUUGGUGGGGUAACGGCCUACCAAGUCGACGAUCAGUAGCCGGACUGAGAGGUUGAACGGCCACAUUGGGACUGAGACACGGUCCAGACUCCUACGGGAGGCAGCAGUGGGGAAUCUUCCGCAAUGGGCGAAAGCCUGACGGAGCAACGCCGCGUGAGUGAAGAAGGUCUUCGGAUCGUAAAAGCUCUGUUGUCGGGGACGAAUGUUGAGACCUAGAACAUAGGUUUCAAAAUGACGGUACCUGACGAGGAAGCCACGGCUAACUACGUGCCAGCAG
rnacentral:rRNA from 1 species